rnacentral:rRNA from 1 species
GUUAAGGCUAGUGGCGAACGGGUGAGUAACACGUGGGCAAUCUGCCUCGAAGUGGGGGAUAACAUCGGGAAACCGGUGCUAAUACCGCGUAAUAUCCAGGGAUCGCAUGUUUCCUGGAUCAAAGGUGGGGAUCUUUCGGGACCUACCGCUUUGAGAGGAGCCCGCGGUCGAUUAGCUUGUUGGUGAGGUAAUGGCUCACCAAGGCAAUGAUCGAUAGCCGACCUGAGAGGGUGACCGGCCACACUGGGACUGAGAUACGGCCCAGACUCCUACGGGGGGCAGCAGUCUAGAAGCUUCGGCAAUGGGGGAAACCCUGACCGAGCGACGCCGCGUGCAGGAUGAAGGUCUUCGGAUCGUAAACUGCUUUCGCUGGGGGAGAAAUGCCUGGAGGUGAAUAAUCUUCAGGUUAGACGGUACCCAGUAAAGAAGCCCCGGCUAAGUCCGUGCCAGCAGCCGCGGUAAUACGGGCGGGGCGAGCGUUGUUCGGAUUCAUUGGGUGUAAAGGGUGCGAAGGCGGUCGUCUAAGUCGAAGGUGAAAUGUCUACGGCUCAACCGAGGCAUUGCCUCCGAUACUGGACGACUUGAGUGCGGAAGGGGAGCGUGGAAUUCCUGGUGUAGCGGUGAAAUGCGUAGAUAUCAGGAGGAACACCGGUGGCGAAGGCGACGCUCUGGUCCGCAACUGACGCUCAUGCACGAAAGCCAGGGGAGCGAACGGGAUUAGAUACCCCGGUAGUCCUGGCCGUAAACGUUGGGCACUAGGUGUGGGAGGUAUCGACCCCUUCCGUGCCGUAGCUAACGCAUUAAGUGCCUCACCUGGGGAGUACGACCGCAAGGUUGAAACUCAAAGGAAUUGACGGGGGCCCGCACAAGCGGUGGAG